rnacentral:rRNA from 1 species
CGCAUCUGUGCAUGCAGCAUAUCAAUAAGCGGAGGAAAAGAAACUAACAAGGAUUCCCCUAGUAACGGCGAGUGAAGCGGGAAGAGCUCAAAUUUGAAAUCUUAAAGGGUUUCCCUUUACGAAUUGUAGUUUAAAGAAGUGUUUUCUGUUGAGGUUUUGGUAAAAGUUCUUUGGAAUAGGACAUCAUAGAGGGUGAGAAUCCCGUAUUUGACCUUUACUUUCAACUUUGUGAUACACUUUCAAAGAGUCGGAUUGUUUGGGAAUGCAGUCCAAAAUGGGUGGUAAAUUUCAUCUAAAGCUAAAUAUUGGCGAGAGACCGAUAGCGAACAAGUACCGUGAGGGAAAGAUGAAAAGAACUUUGAAAAGAGAGUUAAACAGUACGUGAAAUUGUCAAAAGGGAAGCGUUUGACACCAGUGUUGUUUUUCCGAAAAUCAAUUAAAGAACUGUUUAUGCUAAGCUGUUUAGACUUUAUCAGCUAUCUGUUUAGUUUUGAGCUUUUCUUUAAUGCACUUUUCAGUUAACAAGUCAACAUCAAUUUCUUUUGCUGUAAAAAAGCUUGAGGAAGGUGGCUUGAGAUUCGUCUUAAGUGUUUAUAGCCUCUUGCCUAUGCAGUCGGAGAGAUUGAGGUCUGCAGCGUAGAUCCUUCGGGGCUAAAUGCAUUUGUGCUAAGUUAUAGCAUUUUAUAGACAACUUGUUGACUAUGAUUUGUCUUGUAGCUUACUCGCUUAUGUUAUUUUACCUACGCUUAGGAUGUUGAAUCUGUGCGAGACUAC